CCCUGCCAUUUGUACACACCGCCCGUCGCUCCUACCGAUUGAAUGAUCCGGUGAGGCCCCCGGACUGUGGCAACGCAGUUGGUUUUCCAGCCGCGAUGCCGCGGGAAGCUGUCCAAACCUUAUCAUUUAGAGGAAGGAGAAGUCGUAACAAGGU
rnacentral:rRNA from 1 species